UACAGAGGUCUCAAGCGUUGUUCGGAUUUAUUGGGCGUAAAGAGCUCGUAGGCGGCUUGUCGCGUCGACUGUGAAAUCCCGCGGCUCAACUGCGGGUCUGCAGUCGAUACGGGCAGGCUAGAGUUCGGUAGGGGAGACUGGAAUUCCUGGUGUAGCGGUGAAAUGCGUAGAUAUCGGAAGGAACACCUGUGGCGAAAGCGGCUCACUGGACCAUUACUGACGCUGAGGCACGAAAGCUAGGGGAGCAAACAGG
rnacentral:rRNA from 1 species